GCGCGUGCACGGCCCUAAAUAGGCUGCUGAGCAGCUGCGCGGCUUACAGGAAACGUAGGCAAAGAGGGAAACUAUCAUGCUGAGAUUUCAUAACAGAAAUAAAGCUGGAAAUCUGGCCUGGAGGGUCUCUCCAUCCACACCAGUAGGAGGAGAAGGAAGAGGACAUGGGAUCCCACCAGGGAAGCUGAUAAGGAACUGGGUGUCCCAGGGAGCUGGGCAGGCUGUCAGGAAACCAGAACUGGAAGGAACCUCAAGAGGUCAUCUAAUCCAGCUCCACCUUGCUGAGGCAAGACAAUGUAUACACUAGAUGAUUCCUGACACGUGUUUAUCCAACCGGUUCUUAAAAUCCUCCAAAGAUGGGGAUUCCGCAACCUCCCUUCGCAAGCUAUUCCAGUACUUACCUAUUAAUAUAGUUAGAACGAUUUUCCUAAUAUCUAACCUAAAGCUCCCUUGCUGCAGGUUACGCCCAUUACUUCUUGUCCUACCUUCAGUGGACAUGGAGAACAAUUUAUCACCAUCCUCUUUAUAACAACCUUUUUAUAUAUGUGAAGACUUUUCAUGUCUCCCUGCUCUUCUCGAAACUAAACGUGCCCAGUUCUUUCAACCUUUCCUCUUAGGUCAUGUUUCUGAACCUCUUAUCAUUUUUGUUGUUCUCCUCCAGAUUCUCUCCACAUCUUUGUUCACAUCUUUCUGAAAGACACUGUACUCCAUCUGAGGCCUCACCAGUGCUGAGCAGAGUGGGACAAUUACCGCCCGUGUCUUACAUAUGACACUCCUUUUAAUAUAUCCCAGAAUGACAUUUCCUUUUUUGCCUCAGAAUCACAUUGUUGACUCAUAUUCAAUUUCUGAUCCACUAUAACCCCCAGAUCUCUUUCUUUAGUACUGCUGUCUAGCCAGUUAUUCCCAUUUUUUAUUUGUGCAUUUGAUUUUUUUCCUUCCAAAGUAUAGUAAUUUAUACUUAUCUUUAUUGAAUUUAAUCUUUAUUGAUUUCAGACCAAUUCUCCAAUUUAUCAAGAUCAUUUUUAAUUUUAAUCCAGUCCUCCAAAGUGCUUGCAACCCCUCCCAGUUUAGUGUCAUUUGCAAAUUUUAUAAGCAUACUCUCUAUUCCAUCAUGGAAGUCACCAGUGAAAAUACUGAAUAGUAUUGGAUCCAGGACAGACUCCUACGUGACUGCACUUGAUAUGUCCCCCCAAUUUGAGAUAACUAUGGAUAACUACUCUUUGAGUACAGACUUUCAAUCAUUUGUGCACCCAUCUUAUAGUAAUUUCAUCUAGACCAUAUGUCCCUACUUUGCUUAUCAGAAUGUCUUGUGAGAGUGUGUCAAAAGCCUUACUAAAGUCCAGAUAUAUCACAUCUACUGCUCCCGCCUCCCUGUCCACUAGGUCAGUAACCCCAUCAAAGAAAGAAAUUGGAUUGGUUUGUCCUCCUAGCACCAAAAACACCUUCCAUCCCAGUUUGAUCAGGAGACUCUAUUCUUCAUGUGAUGACCCUGUGUCCCAAGAACCUGCUUUGGAAUGCCUGAAAUGUCCCUUUUUAAUUUCAUCAGUUAAAGCAUUCAGGGUUCUAUAAUUACAAAAUGUUUGUUCAAACAUGUUCCUAUAUUGAUCACAAAUGGGCAUCCCUGUGUCAUUCACAUCAUAGAGAAUAUGAGAAAGCUCAGACAAAGAACUCUUUCGUCAUAGUGAUAGCUGGAAAAAGAGGCUGAGAAUAUUGAAUAAGGAAACUGUCUUCUGAUUCCUGCUGUAUUCACGAAACAAGACUUUAUGUACAUUCUUUGUAAAUAAACA